GAGUGGCGGACGGGUGAGUAACACGUAGGUAACCUGCCCAGAAGCGGGGGACAACAUUUGGAAACAGAUGCUAAUACCGCAUAACAGCGUUGUUCGCAUGAACAACGCUUAAAAGAUGGCUUCUCGCUAUCACUUCUGGAUGGACCUGCGGUGCAUUAGCUUGUUGGUGGGGUAACGGCCUACCAAGGCGAUGAUGCAUAGCCGAGUUGAGAGACUGAUCGGCCACAAUGGGACUGAGACACGGCCCAUACUCCUACGGGAGGCAGCAGUAGGGAAUCUUCCACAAUGGGCGCAAGCCUGAUGGAGCAACACCGCGUGAGUGAAGAAGGGUUUCGGCUCGUAAAGCUCUGUUGUUAAAGAAGAACACGUAUGAGAGUAACUGUUCAUACGUUGACGGUAUUUAACCAGAAAGUCACGGCUAACUACGUGCCAGCAGCCGCGGUAAUACGUAGGUGGCAAGCGUUAUCCGGAUUUAUUGGGCGUAAAGAGAGUGCAGGCGGUUUUCUAAGUCUGAUGUGAAAGCCUUCGGCUUAACCGGAGAAGUGCAUCGGAAACUGGAUAACUUGAGUGCAGAAGAGGGUAGUGGAACUCCAUGUGUAGCGGUGGAAUGCGUAGAUAUAUGGAAGAACACCAGUGGCGAAGGCGGCUACCUGGUCUGCAACUGACGC
rnacentral:rRNA from 1 species